AACGAACGCUGGCGGCAGGCUAAACACAUGCAAGUCGAGCGCCCCGCAAGGGGGGCGGCAGACGGGUGAGUAACGCGUGGGAAUCUACCCAUCUCUACGGAAUAACGCAUGGAAACGUGUGCUAAUACCGUAUACGUCCUUCGGGAGAAAGAUUUAUCGGAGCUGGAUGAGCCCGCGUUGGAUUAGCUAGUUGGUGGGGCAAAGGCCUACCAAGGCGACGAUCCAUAGCUGGUCUGAGAGGAUGAUCAGCCACACUGGGACUGAGACACGGCCCAGACUCCUACGGGAGGCAGCAGUGGGGAAUAUUGGACAAUGGGCGCAAGCCUGAUCCAGCCAUGCCGCGUGAGUGAUGAAGGCCCUAGGGUUGUAAAGCUCUUUCACCGGUGAAGAUAAUGACGGUAACCGGAGAAGAAGCCCCGGCUAACUUCGUGCCAGCCGCCGCAGUAAAAC
rnacentral:rRNA from 1 species